GCCCCUAUAGUUAAAUGGCAUAACAUCCAUGGUAAGGAUAAAUUUCAAGUUCGAUUCUUGAUGGGGGCACCA
rnacentral:tRNA from 1 species